UGGGGUAAAAUCAUUUUCUCUGAUGAAUUCCCUUCCUAAUUGUUCGGGGCAUCUGGAAAAAAGAGAAGAAAAGGCCCUGUGGCCCCACCAUCAGCCCUGUGUCAUGCCAACAGUAAUGCAUCUUGAGACUGUUCAUGCAUGGGGUUGUUUCUCAGUCAAGAACACAGCCAUGAAUGAAGAAUGGUACCAAAACAUCCAACUUCUCCCAACCAUCUGAGAUCAGUGUGGUGACGAACAAUGCCUUCUCCAGCAUGAUGGAGGCAAAAGUGCUUACUAAGUGGCUUGAGGGAAAAAAAACCUACAAAUUUUGGGUCUAUGGCCAGGAACCUCCCCAGACCUUAAUCCCAUAGAGCAGUGUUUCUCAAGUCCAGUCCUCGAGGCCCACUGUCCUGCAUGUUUUGGAUGUUUCCCUGCUCCAACACACCUGAUUCAAAUGAUCAGCUCGUUAUCAAGCUCUGUAAUGGCUCAAUAACGAGCUGAUCAUUUGAAUCAGGUGUGUUGGAGCAGGGAAACAUCCAAAACACGCAGGACAGUGGGCCUCAAGGACUCGACUUGAGAACCACUGCCAUAGAUAACUUGUGGUCAAUCCUCAAGACAUGGAUGGACAAACAAAAACUUACAAAUUGACACUUAUGAAAUGCUUGUAAUUAUACUUCAGUAUAACACAGAAACAUCUGACAAAAAGGUCUAAAAACACUGAAGCAGCGGACUUUGUGAAAAUUAAUAUUUGUGUCAGUCUCACUUUUGGCCAGGGCUGUACAUCUAUUUCUAUGACGUCCAAACAUCUACAUUCUGAACUCCUCAAUUAAAACCAGAAGACUUCAGUUUCAGUCUGUAUUCUGGUGUGUCUCAGCUCUCAGGUUUUAUGGUCAGCAUGAAGUGGAAGAGUAAAAACUAAAGGUGAAAGGUCAGGAAACAUAAGCUAGUCCUUCGAGAACAUCUUAUCUGCUGUAUAGUAAUCUAGUGUGUGUUGUUGUGUGUGUGUGUGUGUGUGUGUUCCCAGUUACUGCAUCACACUGAGCAGAUCGGAGAGUUCUCAGCUCCUCGCCUGUCCUGGCAGGCGUCUGACAGUUACUGCUGGCUGCCCUCCCAACCUGCCCUUCCAGCAGGACUCCAGCUGGCCCGCUGCUGCCGCCGUCACCUCCGCCUCUCUGCCACCGCCGGCAUCAUCACCAGGGAGGCCGGCUGAGUGAAGACGGGUGUAAGGGGGGAGAGAGGGAGAAGACGGGAGCUGCCAGCUCGCACCAUCCUCGUCCGCUCACUGAGAUGUUAAAUCAGUUGUCGGCUCCUCCGUCUCUCGUCGCUGGCUCGCCCAUUUGUAUGCAGACGGUGAGUGUAAUUCAUUGCAAACCACCUCUUUUACUCAUUCUGUCAUCCAGGGGCGCACUCCCGUCACAUCUGCAGCCCCACACUGGUUUGAGAACCACUUAUGAUAACAACAGAACAAUCAAGGAACGCUUGUAGGAGAGAAACACACGCGAGUGUCAAUGCGGUCAGCUUCCUAUAGCGAGAGCGAUGCUGCCUCCGCUCUUUAAUGAAGCGCAGUCUGAGCGGGCUUUAAUCAACCUGAGCGUAGGAGGAGGGGUACCGAUGUGAUUAUCUAUUUAUUAAGCAGACCUCCUUGUGUUCUUUGGCACCUGCAUGUCCCAUUAGAAGUGUUGGGUCAGCAGUGCUGAGGGCAGCACAUUGAACCUGCGUCACAACAUAAUUAGGCCCCCACUCCACAUAACAGUUCUGCUUGGCUCUGCUCUCAGGAGACACACUAUCAUGUCGACACACACAAACCCCGGACAGCCGACCCCAUCAGACGCACACUGAAGAGUGAAGCGCAGUCUUACACAUCCCCAAACAAGCGUGUUUUUCUGUCCAGGAAUGAAGACUUACACCUUCAUUUUACAACAAUAAAUACAGCAAUUAACCCCGAAACAUAAAGAUUCAGUGCUUUACAAUAAAAAAAGCAGCUCACACAUAAAACAGAGUGGGAAUAAAAACCAUUCAAAUAUCUCAUGGAAAGAAAAAAACUAUUGAGUUUAUUAAACAGGACUGACAAGAUACUUGACUGCUUUAUUUCCUGUGUAUUAUGGAGCUGAAUGGAACAGUUAAAAGAGCAUAAAAAAGUAUGGACAUUUAAUUGAGUAGUAACUCAAAGAGGCACAACGUUACAUUUGGAUUAAAAAAAAAAUCAUGAAAUCUCAAUCAGCCCAAUCAGCCUCUUCACAGA